rnacentral:rRNA from 1 species
AACGAACGCUGGCGGCAUGCCUAACACAUGCAAGUCGAACGAGACCUUCGGGUCUAGUGGCGCACGGGUGCGUAACGCGUGGGAACCUGCCCUUAGGUUCGGAAUAACUCCCCGAAAGGGGUGCUAAUACCGGAUAAUGUCUUCGGACCAAAGAUUUAUCGCCUUUGGAUGGGCCCGCGUUGGAUUAGCUAGUUGGUAGGGUAAAAGCCUACCAAGGCGACGAUCCGUAGCUGGUCUGAGAGGAUGAUCAGCGACACUGGGACUGAGACACGGCCCAGACUCCUACGGGAGGCAGCAGUGGGGAAUAUUGGACAAUGGGCGAAAGCCUGAUCCAGCAAUGCCGCGUGAGUGAUGAAGGCCUUAGGGUUGUAAAGCUCUUUUAACCGGGAUGAUAAUGACAGUACCGGGAGAAUAAGCCCCGGCUAACUCCGUG